rnacentral:rRNA from 1 species
CCCUUAGAUGUUCUGGGCCGCACGCGCGCUACACUGAUGAACGCAACGAGACGACCUGUACCGAAAGGCAUGGGUAAACUUGUGAAAGUUCAUCGUGAUGGGGAUAGAUUAUUGCAAUUAUUAAUCUUCAACGAGGAAUUCCUAGUAAGCGCGAGCCAUCAGCUCGCGUUGAUUACGUCCCUGCCCUUUGUACACACCGCCCGUCGCUCCUACCGAUUGAAUGGUCCGGUGAAAUCUUCGGAUUGCUGGAUAGGAGGGCAACCACCUAUCUGCGAGAAGUUGCUUGAACCUUAUCAUUUAGAGGAAGGAGAAGUCGUAACA